AACGAACGCUGGCGGCAUGCCUAACACAUGCAAGUCGAACGAGACCUUCGGGUCUAGUGGCGCACGGGUGCGUAACGCGUGGGAACCUGCCCUUAGGUUCGGAAUAACUCCCCGAAAGGGGUGCUAAUACCGGAUAAUGUCUUCGGACCAAAGAUUUAUCGCCUUUGGAUGGGCCCGCGUUGGGUUAGCUAGUUGGUAGGGUAAAAGCCUACCAAGGCGACGAUCCAUAGCUGGUCUGAGAGGAUGAUCAGCCACACUGGGACUGGGACACGGCCCAGACUCAUACGGGAGGCAGCAGUGGGGAAUAUUGGACAAUGGGCGAAAGCCUGAUCCAGCAAUGCCGCGUGAGUGAUGAAGGCCUUAGGGUUGUAAAGCUCUUUUACCCGGGAUGAUAAUGACAGUACCGGGAGAAUAAGCGCCGGCUAACUCCGUG
rnacentral:rRNA from 1 species